CAAAUAGAAUUGACGGGGCCCGCACAAGCGGUGGAGCAUGUGGUUUAAUUCGACGCAACGCGAAGAACCUUACCAGGGCUUGACAUCCCCUGACCGCGUAUGAAAGUACGUUUUCACCCUCGGGUGACAGGGAGACAGGUGGUGCAUGGUUGUCGUCAGCUCGUGUCGUGAGAUGUUGGGUUAAGUCCCGCAACGAGCGCAACCCCUACGUUUAGUUGCUAACGCGUGAAGGCGAGCACUCUAGACGAACUGCCGUUGACAAAACGGAGGAAGGUGGGGAUGACGUCAAAUCAUCAUGCCCCUUAUGUUCUGGGCUACACACGUGCUACAAUGGCCGGUACAGACGGACGCAAAGCCGCGAGGUGGAGCAAAUCCUAAAAAGCCGGUCUCAGUUCGGAUUGCAGGCUGCAAUUCGCCUGCAUGAAGUCGGAAUCGCUAGUAAUCGCAGGUCAGCAUACUGCGGUGAAUACGUUCCCGGGCCUU
rnacentral:rRNA from 1 species